rnacentral:rRNA from 1 species
GCUCAGGAUGAACGCUAGCUACAGGCUUAACACAUGCAAGUCGAGGGGCAUCAGGAAGAAAGCUUGCUUUCUUUGCUGGCGACCGGCGCACGGGUGAGUAACACGUAUCCAACCUGCCCUUUACUCGGGGAUAGCCUUUCGAAAGAAAGAUUAAUACCCGAUGGCAUAAUGAUUCCGCAUGGUUUCAUUAUUAAAGGAUUCCGGUAAAGGAUGGGGAUGCGUUCCAUUAGGUUGUUGGUGAGGUAACGGCUCACCAAGCCUUCGAUGGAUAGGGGUUCUGAGAGGAAGGUCCCCCACAUUGGAACUGAGACACGGUCCAAACUCCUACGGGAGGCAGCAGUGAGGAAUAUUGGUCAAUGGGCGCUAGCCUGAACCAGCCAAGUAGCGUGAAGGAUGAAGGCUCUAUGGGUCGUAAACUUCUUUUAUAUAAGAAUAAAGUGCAGUAUGUAUACUGUUUUGUAUGUAUUAUAUGAAUAAGGAUCGGCUAACUCCGUGCCAGCAGCCGCGGUAAUACGGAGGAUCCGAGCGUUAUCCGGAUUUAUUGGGUUUAAAGGGAGCGUAGGUGGACUGGUAAGUCAGUUGUGAAAGUUUGCGGCUCAACCGUAAAAUUGCAGUUGAUACUGUCAGUCUUGAGUACAGUAGAGGUGGGCGGAAUUCGUGGUGUAGCGGUGAAAUGCUUAGAUAUCACGAAGAACUCCGAUUGCGAAGGCAGCUCACUGGACUGCAACUGACACUGAUGCUCGAAAGUGUGGGUAUCAAACAGGAUUAGAUACCCUGGUAGUCCACACAGUAAACGAUGAAUACUCGCUGUUUGCGAUAUACAGUAAGCGGCCAAGCGAAAGCAUUAAGUAUUCCACCUGGGGAGUACGCCGGCAACGGUGAAACUCAAAGGAAUUGACGGGGGGCCGCACAAGCGGAGGAACAUGUGGUUUAAUUCGAUGAUACGCGAGGAACCUUACCCGGGCUUAAAUUGCAGUGGAAUGAUGUGGAAACAUGUCAGUGAGCAAUCACCGCUGUGAAGGUGCUGCAUGGUUGUCGUCAGCUCGUGCCGUGAGGUGUCGGCUUAAGUGCCAUAACGAGCGCAACCCUUAUCUUUAGUUACUAACAGGUUAUGGUGAGGACUCUAGAGAGACUGCCGUCGUAAGAUGUGAGGAAGGUGGGGAUGACGUCAAAUCAGCACGGCCCUUACGUCCGGGGCUACACACGUGUUACAAUGGGGGGUACAGAAGGCAGCUAGCGGGUGACCGUAUGCUAAUCCCAAAAGCCUCUCUCAGUUCGGAUCGAAGUUUGCAACCCGACUUCGUGAAGCUGGAUUCGCUAGUAAUCGCGCAUCAGCCACGGCGCGGUGAAUACGUUCCCGGGCCUUGUACACACCGCCCGUCAAGCCAUGGGAGCCGGGGGUACUUGAAGUACGUAACCGCAAGGAUCGUCCUAGGGU